rnacentral:rRNA from 1 species
CAGCCGCCACGGUAAUACGUAGGGUGCAAGCGUUAAUCGGAAUUACUGGGCGUAAAGCGUGCGCAGGCGGUUUGUUAAGACAGAUGUGAAAUCCCCGGGCUCAACCUGGGAACUGCAUUUGUGACUGGCAAGCUAGAGUCUGGCAGAGGGGGGUGGAAUUCCGCGUGUAGCAGUGAAAUGCGUAGAUAUGCGGAGGAACACCGAUGGCGAAGGCAGCCCCCUGGGCCAACACUGACGCUCAUGCACGAAAGCGUGGGGAGCAAACAGGAUUAGAUACCCGCGUAGUCCCUGUCUCUUAUAC